UACAGAGGGGGCAAGCGUUAUUCGGAAUUAUUGGGCGUAAAGGGCGCGUAGGCGGCUUGGCAAGUGGAAGGUGAAAUCCCUCGGCUUAACCGAGGAACUGCCCUCCAAACUGCUUGGCUUGAGACCGGGAGAGGUGAGUGGAAUUCCCAGUGUAGCGGUGAAAUGCGUAGAUAUUGGGAGGAACACCAGUGGCGAAGGCGGCUCACUGGACCGGUACUGACGCUGAUGCGCGAAAGCGUGGGGAGCGAACAGG
rnacentral:rRNA from 1 species